GACGAACGCUGGCGGCGUGCCUAACACAUGCAAGUCGAACGAGGUCCAGGGAAGCUUGCUUCCUGAAGACCUAGUGGCGAACGGGUGAGUAACACGUGAGAAACCUGCCUCGGAGUGGGGAAUAACUCGGGGAAACUCGAGCUAAUACCGCAUACCUUCACAUGAUCGCAUGGUCGAGUGAAGAAAGAAUUUCGCUCUGAGAGGGUCUCGCGGCCUAUCAGCUUGUGGUGGGGUAACGGCCUACCAAGGCAACGACGGUAGCUGGUUUGAGGAACGAUCAGCCGACACUGGGACUGAGUCACGGCCCAGACUCCUACGGGAGGCAGCAGUGGGAAUCUUGCGCAAUGGCGAAAGCCUGACGCAGCAACGCCG
rnacentral:rRNA from 1 species